CCUGGUAGUGGGGGAUAACGUUCCGAAAGGAACGCUAAUACCGCAUACGUCCUACGGGAGAAAGUGGGGGAUCUUCGGACCUCACGCUAUCAGAUGAGCCUAGGUCGGAUUAGCUUGUUGGUGAGGUAAUGGCUCACCAAGGCGACGAUCCGUAACUGGUCUGAGAGGAUGAUCAGUCACACUGGAACUGAGACACGGUCCAGACUCCUACGGGAGGCAGCAGUGGGGAAUAUUGGACAAUGGGCGAAAGCCUGAUCCAGCCAUGCCGCGUGUGUGAAGAAGGUCUUCGGAUUGUAAAGCACUUUAAGUUGGGAGGAAGGGUUGUAGAUUAAUACUCUGCAAUUUUGACGUUACCGACAGAAUAAGCACCGGCUAACUUCGUGCCAGCAGCCGCGGUAAU
rnacentral:rRNA from 1 species